GAUGUAAAUAUGUGGUCUAAAACUAGUAAAAAAGAUAAAAGUAAAUGUGACCUAUGCCACUAGUUAGCCUUCCGGACGCUUGUUUGGGUUCCCCACUGCUCAACGUGUUCUGCUGUUGAGUGUUUCCUUAAGUGGACAGUUUAUGGCAUCCUAACCAUGCUGUGCCGGGUGCUGCCAAGAACCCUUGACCUCUGGGGCAUCAGGUCACCAGCCAUUCUGACCCUCAGCACAAUCACAAGAGGGGCCACACAUUCCCUCCUGUGGUUUGCGGGAUGCCCUAAGCCCCAGUCUGGUCUGCGCUGCCUCUCCUCCGGACACACCUUGGGCUGCAGGGACCCAGGGGACUAUGCCAGUGAUCCUCAGGUGAAGGAGUGGUUGAAGGAACUGCAUAAGGACUUCUCCCACCAGCCACAGAAGGAGGAGGACCUGAGCAGCGGCAAGACAAAGGAAGGAAAAGAGAGGACUAAAGAGGAAGAUCUGGCAAGUGACACAGUAGAAAAAGAAAAGAGACAGGAAGAAAGGAGGGAGGGAGGAAUCAGUCCACAGAAGGUGUGGAGUCAUCUGGUGGCAGAGAAGUACCAGAAGCUGGAAACCCACACCCAGAUCAUCUAUGACUAUGAUGAGGAGCAGCAGCGCAGAGAGGCAGGGCUGGAGGAGGAGGUGCAGGGGAAGCAGGAGAAGGUUAAACUAAAACGUGGAGAAACAGGAGUGUUUGAUGUGGAAGAGUUGGUGGACCUUUUGCGAGAGGACAAUGCACAGGAUAUGGUGGUGAUACAGAUACCAGAAGAAAUGAAGUAUGCAAGCUACAUGGUGAUUGUGUCCAGUGCAUCCCAGAGGCACAGGACUGCACUGUCAGAGCUGGUGAAGGCAGCAUACAAGCUGAAGAAGGGCAAGAAGGACCACUCAGUACUGAUGGAGGGCAAGGGAACAGACUGGGUGGCGAUGGACAUGGGGAACAUCAUCCUGCACAUCAUGAGGCCAGAGACGAGAGAGGCCUAUGACCUGGAGACUCUGUGGACCGUUGGCGCAGAGUUUGACGAGAGGUCCCAGGUGUCGGAGGAAGACCUGGUGGGGGUGCACAGGCCACGUGACCCCCUUGCCCCUCCAUCCUCAUCAGGCACCUCUGCUGAGGCUGUGACGUGAGGUUCUUGAGGUAUUUAACUUUAAUUCUGCAUUGUUGAUUCAUUUAUCUCUGUAUGUACAGUUGGCUCCAAAAAUUUUGUUAUAUAUGUCGCCCUCACCUUGCCAUGACAUGUACUGAAAUUCUUGGAGCCAGCUGUACACACACUCAAAAAACUAUUGUUACAGUGGGGUGUGAUGAGAUCCACACUGAAAAGCCUAGUACCACCUGUGUUUUAUGAAGUGUCACUGGCAGCUCAGAUCCUAUUGCUUCAUGUAUGAGGACUGUUCAUUUGAUUCAUGCAGGUGCAGCUGAACCAAGCACACAGGGAUACCAACAUGAGCAGCCUGUUACCAACAGAUCCAUCCUUGGUGUCAGUUGGUUUUGUGGUGAAUGUGUAAUGAAUCUUUUUUGAGUGUGAGUACAUUUAUCUACACUAGCAGUGUUGGGAUACAAAAGGAGGGUUUCCUGUGUGAUGUAAGGAAUCUAUUGAAGUUACUUUUAAAAGAAUUUCCAUAUAUUUGUAGCAAAAAAAAAAAAAAAAAAAAAAAAAAAAAAACCAGGAUCCAGUUUUUGCUGUGUAGAAAUUACAAUUAUUUUGUGAUGUUAGUCAGGUGGCACUGAAGCAAGACUUGGUUUUCAGUCUUUGAGAAAAAAAUGGAGAACAUGUCUGUACCAUGUUUAUAACCUACAUUUUAACAUGCUCAGAUUCUUUGUUAUGGUUUUUAAUGUGAUUCAGUGAGCAUCUUUCAUUACAUAUUCCUAUUUGUGAUUAUGUAAAUACAGACUUGUAAAUAGCAACAAAUAAACCUGUAAAGUUUUA